GGCUGAAGCACCCAGGCACUUGGACAGAGGGACAGGACAGAGGGAUGUCUGGACAUGUUGUCACCCCAGGACCCUUGGACCCUCCAGUUCUGGUUUUUGAAAACCAGAAACAGAUGGACUAAUCCAAGCUCCUCAGAGCAGACGGCGUCUCAAGCUCCCUGCGUUGAGGAACGGAGCUCCCCUGCAGAGAGCUGCAGCCGUGGAAUAAUUGACUCCAGCUCUGCCGUGGAAAGAACACCCUGAGAACUUUAAACCAUUAGCCUUUCCACUGGCCCCAUGGUCAACAACUGGUGGGAAGAUGUGUCCUCGUCUGAUCCUUGGGGUCACACGCAUCACCCAGCUGCCAGACACUGGGUAUCCAUGGACCUGCUGGGGUGAUUCAGUAUCCACUGCACCUCUAGCUGGUGGAGAGCCUGCUUCCCCCUAAUGAGUUCCAGAGCCCAUUCUUUAUCGUCUGAAACUGUUCUGAGGCCUUCCAGGAACAUCCAGCUGAACAGGUGGUACCUGCCUCUCAAGAUACAGGAGAGAAGCUGAACCUCUUCCUCGUGUCAAGAGGAACAGGCAUGGGAUGGUGGGCCUGGCAGAUGAGGCUUUGAGAGGAGAUUCUGCGAACCCUGAGGAGACAAGGUGCUCCGUAAAUGAAUGUCAGUCAGAUGUCAGGCACUCUGCUGGGGCAACAUGGAGAUGAGUCAGACACGGUCUCAGCCUUGCAGUGGAACGAAGGAGAAAAAA